GUAGGUGAAAAACUCCGAGUCUUCUUCACUAAGUUUGUCGUAAAACCUCACGUUUGGGGGUUUAAGAGACACAAUAUGUGGUUUAGGCCGUGACAUAGUGUCACCAGGGCUGCACUAGAAAUGGCGUUGCCUCCCGUAUUUAGGAAAGGUGUUUUGUGACGCAACAA
rnacentral:ncRNA from 2 species